rnacentral:siRNA from 1 species
GUACUGAUGAUGCUGACCGGAU